rnacentral:rRNA from 1 species
UACGGGGGGGGCAAGCGUUGUUCGGAAUUACUGGGCGUAAGGGCUCGUAGGCGGCCAACUAAGUCACACGUGAAAUCCCUCGGCUCAACCGGGGAACUGCGUGUGAGACUGGAUGGCUUGAGUUUGGGAGAGGAAUGCGGAAUUCCAGGUGUAGCGGUGAAAUGCGUAGAUAUCUGGAGGAACACCGGUGGCGAAGGCGGCAUUCUGGACCAACACUGACGCUGAGGAGCGAAAGCCAGGGGAGCGAAUGGG